GCGGUGGAGCAUGUGGUUAAUUCGAAGCAACGCGAAGACUUACCAGGUCUUGACAUCCCCUCGACAACCCAAGAGAUUGGGCGUUCCCCUUCGGGGAGCUUGCACAGGUGCUGCAUGGCUGUCGUCAGCUCGUGUCGUGAGAUGUUCGGUAAGUCCGCUAACGAGCGCAACCCUCACUGUGUGUUAUAUGUGUCACACGGGACUGCCGGUUUUAAGCCGGAGGAAGGUGGGGAUGACGUCAAGUCAGCAUGGCCUUUAUAUCCUGGGCUACACACACGCUACAAUGGUCGGUACAAUAGGUUGCCAAGCCGCGAGGCGGAGCCAAUCCACAAAGCCGGCCUCAGUUCAGAUUGUAGGCUGCAACUCGCCUGCAUGAAGAUGGAGUUGCUAGUAACCGCAGGUCAGCAAUACUGCGGUGAAUACGUUCCCGGGUCUU
rnacentral:rRNA from 1 species